rnacentral:rRNA from 1 species
GAUGAACGCUGGCGGCGUGCCUAAUACAUGCAAGUCGAGCGAACGGACGAGAAGCUUGCUUCUCUGAUGUUAGCGGCGGACGGGUGAGUAACACGUGGAUAACCUACCUAUAAGACUGGGAUAACUUCGGGAAACCGGAGCUAAUACCGGAUGAUAUUUUGAACCGCAUGGUUCAAAGGUGAAAGACGGUCUUGCUGUCACUUAUAGAUGGAUCCGCGCUGCAUUAGCUAGUUGGUAAGGUAACGGCUUACCAAGGCAACGAUGCAUAGCCGACCUGAGAGGGUGAUCGGCCACACUGGAGCUGAGACACGGUCCAGACUCCUACGGAGGCAGCAGUAGGGAAUCUUCCGCAAUGGGCGAAAGCCUGACGGAGCAACGCCGCGUGAGUGAUGAAGGUCUUCGGAUCGUAAAUCUCUGUUAUUAGGGAAGAACAUAUGUGUAAGUAACUGUGCACAUCUUGACGGUACCUAAUCAGAAAGCCACGGCUAACUACGUG